rnacentral:piRNA from 1 species
UCAAAGGUGUGUGGUUUUCAA